GGCGAACGGGUGAGUAACACGUGAGUGACCUGCCCCUCACUUCGGGAUAACUUCCAGAAAUGGUGGCUAAUACCGGAUAUGACUCCUGCCUGCAUGGGUGGGGGUGGAAAGUUUUUGCGGUGGGGGAUGGACUCGCGGCCUAUCAGCUUGUUGGUGAGGUAGUGGCUCACCAAGGCGUCGACGGGUAGCCGGCCUGAGAGGGUGACCGGCCACAUUGGGACUGAGAUACGGCCCAGACUCCUACGGGAGGCAGCAGUGGGGAAUAUUGCGCAAUGGGCGGAAGCCUGACGCAGCAACGCCGCGUGCGGGAUGACGGCCUUCGGGUUGUAAACCGCUUUCACUCAUGACGAAGCUUUUGUGACGGUAGUGGGAGAAGAAGCACCGGCCAACUACGUGCCAGCAGCCGCGGUGAUACGUAGGGUGCGAGCGUUGUCCGGAAUUAUUGGGCGUAAAGAGCUUGUAGGCGGUUUGUCGCGUCGAAAGUGAAAACUCGGGCCUUAAUCCUGAGCUUGCUUUCGAUACGGGCUGACUAGAGGAAGGUAGGGGAGAAUGGAAUUCCUGGUGGAGCGGUGGAAUGCGCAGAUAUCAGGAGGAACACCAGUGGCGAAGGCGGUUCUCUGGACCUUUCCUGACGCUGAGAAGCGAAAGCGUGGGGAGCAAACUGGCUUAGAUACCCUGGUAGUCCACGCCGUAAACGGUGGGCACUAGGUGUGGGUCACAUUCCACGUGAUCCGUGCCGUAGCUAACGCAUUAAGUGCCCCGCCUGGGGAGUACGGCCGCAAGGCUAAAACUCAAAGGAAUUGA
rnacentral:rRNA from 1 species